AUUGAACGCUGUCGGCAGGCCUAACACAUGCAAGUCGAGCGGAGCGGCGGACGGGUGAGUAAUGCCUAGGAAUAUGCCUGGUAGUGGGGGAUAACGUCCGGAAACGGGCGCUAAUACCGCAUUCUAUCAGAUGAUCCUAGGUCGGAUUAGCUAGUUGGUGGGGUAAAGGCCUACCAAGGCGACGAUCCGUAACUGGUCUGAGAGGAUGAUCAGUCACACUUGAACUGAUACACAGUCCAGACUCCUACGGGAGGCAGCAGGGGGGAAUAUUGGACAAUGGGCGAAAGCCUGAUCAAGCCAGGCCGCGUGUGUGAAUAAGUUCUUCGGAUUGUAAAGCACUUUAAGUUGGGAGGCGUUACCAACAGAAUAAGCACCGGCUAACUUCGUUCCAGCAGCCGCGGUAAUUG
rnacentral:rRNA from 1 species